rnacentral:rRNA from 1 species
UACGGAGGGUGCGUGCGUUGUUCGGAAUCACUGGGCGUAAAGGGCGUGUAGGCGGUCCGCUAAGUCUGAUGUGAAAGCCCGGGGCUCACCCCCGGAAGUGCAUUGGAAACUGGCGAACUCGAGUCCCGGAGAGGAGAGUGGAAUUCCUGGUGUAGCGGUGAAAUGCGUAGAUAUCAGGAGGAACACCGGUGGCGAAGGCGGCUCUCUGGACGGUGACUGACGCUAAGACGCGAAAGCGUGGGGAGCAAACAGG